rnacentral:rRNA from 1 species
GAUGAACGCUAGCUACAGGCUUAACACAUGCAAGUCGAGGGGUAACGAGAGGAAAGCUUGCUUUCCUUGUCGACGACCGGCGCACGGGUGAGUAACGCGUAUCCAACCUGCCCCCAACUAGGGAAUAACCUUGCGAAAGUAAGACUAAUACCCUAUAAUUUCCUCAGAUGACAUCUGACGAGGAAUAAAGAUUUAUCGGUUGUGGAUGGGGAUGCGUCUGAUUAGCUUGUUGGCGGGGUAACGGCCCACCAAGGCAACGAUCAGUAGGGGUUCUGGGAGGAAGGUCCCCCACAUUGGAACUGAGACACGGUCCAAACUCCUACGGGAGGCAGCAGUGAGGAAUAUUGGUCAAUGGGCGGAAGCCUGAACCAGCCAAGUAGCGUGCAGGAUGACGGCCCUAUGGGUUGUAAACUGCUUUUAUACAGGAAUAAAGUUAGCCACGUGUGGUUAUUUGUAGGUACUGUAUGAAUAAGGACCGGCUAAUUCCGUGCCAGCCGCCGCAGUAA